UAAAAAUAUGUUCCCAAGUUCUUCCCUCUACAAGCAUUCACUCAAGAGUUGACCUCAUGCUAUUACCCUGUGAAAGUGGAAUUUUAAAACAGCCCACCCCAAACAAACCUGUACUAAUCCCAGGGUGGCCAGCUUUACCCAUCGCUAAUGAAACCCAGGAGGGUCCCGAAGUGAAGUGUGACAAUUUGAGAGGCAGAGUGAAGAUCACAGAGAUACUCCCUUGGAUGGUAGAAUCAGGCUCUGCCAUACUCCUCAGAAUGGAUCCAAAGAGUCAGAAUUAAGUCAGUCAUCAGACAGGGAUCAGAGGUGGACCUCCUCCAUGCCCACUUUUCCUUUCUGACUGGUUGAAAUCAAGAGCCUCAACCACACAUGAAAUGAUGAUGUCCUGGAGCUUUGUGAAGCCACAGGUGGGAAAAUAGCUUGGGUCCUUGAAACACUGUGUGGAGGAGUGUGCUUUACAACCCCAGAUAUUAAUUUUGAAUUCUAUACAAGCAAA